rnacentral:rRNA from 1 species
UACGGAGGGGGCUAGCGUUGUUCGGAAUUACUGGGCGUAAAGCGCACGUAGGCGGCUUUGUAAGUUAGAGGUGAAAGCCCAGGGCUUAACCCUGGAAUUGCCUUUAAGACUGCAUCGCUAGAAUCGUGGAGAGGUGAGUGGAAUUCCGAGUGUAGAGGUGAAAUUCGUAGAUAUUCGGAAGAACACCAGUGGCGAAAGGCGACUCACUGGACACGUAUUGACGCUGAGGUGCGAAAGCGUGGGGAGCAAACAGG